GAUAUUAAUGGCACUUGGAAUGCAUUGUUUGUCUCUGUGUUCACUUAAAUGUCAUCUGUGCUUCCAUCCCAGCUGCUCAGGUGAUUUGCUGGUUCCAGCUCUCAUCUGGAUUAUAAGUGGCUUCAGCAAAGGAGACAAGCCUGAGCUUAGCAAGUAGAUCAUCUGUCACACACAAAAAAAUUACAAUCUGGCCUAGGAUGAUUGCAGGGCACUCACUGUAUGACCUGGUCUCACUUCCUAAGGCCUCUGAAUGGACCUAUAACCUUUGUAAGACUAUAAAUACUGCACUUUCUCAAGGGAAAGAAUUCCCACUGAUA